rnacentral:rRNA from 1 species
UCUUAGUGGCGGACGGGUGAGUAACGCGUGGGUAACCUGCCUUACACUGGGGGAUAACACUUAGAAAUAGGUGCUAAUACCGCAUAAUGAGAGGAGACGCAUGUCUUCUGUCUGAAAACUCCGGUGGUGUAAGAUGGACCCGCGUCUGAUUAGCCAGUUGGCGGGGUAACGGCCCCACCAAAGCGACGAUCAGUAGCCGGCCUGAGAGGGUGAACGGCCACAUUGGGACUGAGACACGGCCCAAACUCCUACGGAAGGCAGCAG